AUGUUGAUAGAGGAGACCAGUUUUGUAGGUUUAGUUCAGUUUGUCAGAGUCAGAGCUGUGUCUCUACAGUCUGAGGUUUUUGUACGACCACUCAACCAGUUUGUUUCACUGUGGUGGACGUUCGGUGGAGGAACCAGACUGGAUGUUGGAAGUGAUGCUCGUCCCACCCUGACGGUGCUGCCUCCCUCCAGGGAGGAGCUGCAGCAGGAGAAGGUCACGCUCACGUGUCUGGCCAACAAGGGCUUCCCCUCAGACUGGACUCUGUCCUGGAAGCUGGACGGCAGCGGCAGCAUCAGCAGCUCUGACCAGAGCAGGAGCCCUGGGGUUCUGGAGAAGGACGGACUCUACAGCUGGAGCAGCACCAUGAGGAUCCCUGCAGACCAGUGGACCAAGGUGAACUCUGUGACCUGUGAGGCCUCCCAGGGCUCCCAGUCUCCAGUCAGAGAGACGCUGAGCACAGACCAGUGCUCCCAGUCCUGAGCUGUUUGUGCGUUUCAUUUGUCCUCUGGUUCUGGUUCUGCUUUUGCCCUCAGUCUUUGUUUAGCAACAACGUUUGUGUUUUCAAAAAUAAACAAUUAAAAUUUGAUCUUUUCCUCUUUUCAUAAAGACUCUGCUGUGGAUCUAACAUAAUAAAAUAUUCCUUUAAACUGAAA